AGCAGCCGCGGUAAUUCCAGCUCCAAUAGCGUAUAUUAAAGUUGUUGCAGUUAAAAAGCUCGUAGUUGAAUUUCGGGGUCAGUAGGUUGGUCGUGCCACUGGUAUGCACUGGUCUCACUGAUUCCUCCUUCCUGAUGAACCGUAAUGCCAUUAAUUUGGUGUUGCGGGGAAUCUGGACUGUUACUUUGAAAAAAUUAGAGUGUUUAAAGCAGGCUAACGCUUGAAUACAUUAGCAUGGAAUAAUGAAAUAGGACGAUCGAUCCUAUUUUGUUGGUUUCUAGGAUUGACGUAAUGAUUAAUAGGGAUAGUUGGGGGCAUUAGUAUUCAAUUGUCAGAGGUGAAAUUCUUGGAUUUAUUGAAGACUAACUACUGCGAAAGCAUUUGCCAAGGAUGUUUUCAUUAAUCAAGAACGAAAGUUAGGGGAUCGAAGACGAUCAGAUACCGUCGUAGUCUUAACCAUAAACUAUGCCGCGUAGGGUCGGAUGAUGUUAAUUUUUAAUGUACUCACUUCGGCGUACCG
rnacentral:rRNA from 1 species